CUACUAAAUCUAAAGGUAACUCUAAACCACCUAAUACUACUCAUAAACAAAGUUCUAUUAAGUGUUUGAGGUGCCUUGGAGUUAGACACAUCGCCUCGCAAUGCCCCAAUAAAAGGAUCAUGUUAUUGCAAGAUGAUGACGAGAUAGAGAUUGUCGAUAAAUACAGUAGUGAUGAUGAUAACAAAACAUUAUUAGAUGAUCAUGAAGAUAGUUUAGCAGC
rnacentral:lncRNA from 1 species